CGCGUAGGCGGUCGAUCAAGUCAGGGGUGAAAUCCUGCAGCUUAACUGUAGAAGUGCCUUUGAUACUGGUCGUCUCGAGGGAGGUAGGGGUGUGUGGAACUUCCAGUGGAGCGGUGAAAUGCGUUGAUAUUGGAAGGAACGCCGGAGGCGAAAGCGACGCACUGGACCUCUUCUGACGCUGAGGCGCGAAAGCUAGGGAGCAAAACG
rnacentral:rRNA from 1 species